rnacentral:lncRNA from 1 species
CCUCGCUCACACCUAUAUACACAUGGUUUGAAUUUAUGUAAAAAUUUGGUUUUAAACAAUAUAUAGCAAUAAGGUUUUGUAAAAGAGGUUUUUCAAACCAUGUGCUCAAUAGUAAUUGAGGCCUUUGAUACUUCCAUUUUAUUAUUAAAUGUUCGAUUUGGUUGCUUUUAUUUUUGAGAUGCGAAACAUCUUCGAGAAAAUAAUAUAUAGCAGUGCCGAACUCCUUAUGGGCAUGAAAGUCAUCUAAGGAGAUUCAAACUCUGUGAAUAAUUUGCAAGCUGCGUACAGCUGAAAAAUGUCCAUCACGAGAACCGAAUCUAGAUUCAAUAGACUGAUUAUGUGAUCACAUAAUUCCUAGGCUCACAUGAUGCUGAAGUUUAUAUGAAAAG